rnacentral:rRNA from 1 species
UACGAAGGGGGCUAGCGUUGCUCGGAAUUACUGGGCGUAAAGAGUGUGUAGGCGGUUUUCUAAGUUCGGUGUGAAAUCUCCCGGCUUAACUGGGAGGGUGCGCCGGAAACUGGAGGACUGGAGUGCCGGAGAGGAUAGCGGAAUUCCUGGUGUAGCGGUGAAAUGCGUAGAUAUCAGGAGGAACACCGGUGGCGAAGGCGGGUCUCUGGGCCGUACCUGACGCUGAGGAGCGAAAGCGUGGGGAGCGAACAGG